GAAAUGUUGAUCUAGAGCUCCUGGUAGUUGCAGGCACUUCCGGCCCAGGUGGGCGGGGUUACGACCUUGUUUUCUCGUAGUGAUUGUGGGUUUCUCAUCUCGGAACACUUCUGAACUUCCUCGACCUGCUCUUGAAGCAACAACAACCCAGUUGUGGGCUUGAGGGGGAAAGCAGAUGUUUGAGCCCUGACUUCACAAGAACUGCACCAAGGUGGACGGAGUGAGGGACCCCUUGGCUCCUGGCAGCAGGGCCCCACAAGUGCUUUGCCAAGGAUUUGAAGUGGCUUCAACUGGUCUUUGCUCAGAUGUUUCCAGUACCAUCUAUGACGUGUUCUAUCAAAAGAGAUGAACUUUAAACAGGCCUUUAGAUUUAAAUUUUACUUUAUAGGAAACAGAAUAGAAGAAGAAAUUAUCUAAUGAUAUGAAAAAUAAACAGUAGGAGAAAUUCAGAAUGUAGAUCAUCAUGACAAUCAACCUGAUUCCUCAACAGGUCAAAGGUCUGUAAGAAGAAGUGAAUGGAUAGUAUUCAAGAAUAAACACACCUGAACAAAUAAAAUGAAUGGACUCUGGACAUUGAUUUGAACAAACCACUGAUGAGGGGGUUUGGGGGAAAAUCUGAAAACAGAUUGGAUAUUAGGAAAUAUUAAAGAAUUAAUAAUUAUUUUAUUUAGCAUGAUAAUAGUAUUGUGGUUUUGAAAGAAUAUUUUUAUUUUUUAAAUAUUUAACAAGGUGUGAAAAGACAUGAUGUCAGGGAUUUGUUUCAAAAUUCUACUAUAACUAAAAAGUAAUAGUGAUAGAUGAAUUAAAUGUUUAAAAUUAAGUUGAAUUUGGGAUAUGAGUAUAUGGGGUGCAUUUUACUGUUCUCUCUACUUUUGUCUAUUUUUGAAAACUUUCAUAAUAAAAAGCUACAAAAUACA